GAUUUAGAGGGGGUUGAGCAAGAGAGAACUAAAGGAUAGUAGGAAUUUCUAAUAAAUAGUGAAUGUGAUUUUUGUCUGUCUUGUCCACCAACAGGCAUAAAGGAAAGCACUCAGAGAAUGUAAAAGCUGAGUGCUGAUACAUGGAGUAUUAUUUAUUGCCAGCAUUUCUGAAAGAAUGCAAAGGUAUAGCUGCUUUGACAUAUUACCAAGAGCCGUUUAGAUGGAAACAUCUUGGACUAAUAAAGGAAGUGUGCAGAAACAUGGCCCAACAUGAUGUGCAAUAAACAUCUGACUAUAUGUGCUUCUGGAAGUUUUCUCCAAACCCACAUUAUCAAAGGUUAAUUAUUUCACUCCCAAAAUGUUUAUCAAGUUAUGUUCUGAAAAUAGUCUUUUUAUCCUAAAUGGAACUCUGAAGUUAGCUGUUUAUGCCUAAAUCCUUCAUUAGAACUCUUCCUUAUGCCAGCACUUACUUUAAAGCACCAUAACUUGCAUAUAGCAGCAGUCACAUGAUAGAAAGAAG
rnacentral:lncRNA from 13 species